UACGUAGGGUCCGAGCGUUGUCCGGAAUUACUGGGCGUAAAGAGCUCGUAGGUGGUUUGUCGCGUUGUUCGUGAAAACUCACAGCUCAACUGUGGGCGUGCGGGCGAUACGGGCAGACUAGAGUACUGCAGGGGAGACUGGAAUUCCUGGUGUAGCGGUGGAAUGCGCAGAUAUCAGGAGGAACACCGGUGGCGAAGGCGGGUCUCUGGGCAGCAACUGACGCUGAGGAGCGAAAGCGUGGGGAGCGAACAGG
rnacentral:rRNA from 1 species